rnacentral:tRNA from 1 species
GAGGGUAUAGCUCAGUGGUAGAACGCCUGCCUGGUAUUCACGAGGUCCUGGAUUCAAUCCCUGGUAUCUUCA